UAGGGAAUAUUGGUCAAUGGAUGCAAGUCUGAACCAGCCAUGCCGCGUGCAGGAAGAAGGCCUUCUGGGUUGUAAACUGCUUUUGCCAGGGGAUAAAAAUCUCAUGCGUGAGAAAUUGAAGGUACCUGGUGAAUAAGCCACGGCUAACUACGUGCCAGCAGCCGCGGUAAUACGUAGGUGGCAAGCGUUGUCCGGAUUUAUUGGGUUUAAAGGGUGCGUAGGCGGCCUUGUAAGUCAGUGGUGAAAUACUCUAGCUUAACUAGAGGGGUGCCAUUGAUACUGCAGGGCUUGAGUACAGACGAGGUAGGCGGAAUUGACGGUGUAGCGGUGAAAUGCAUAGAUAUCGUCAAGAACUCCGAUAGUGAAGACAGCUUACUAGGCUGUAACUGACGCUGAGGCACGAAAGUGUGGGGAUCAAA
rnacentral:rRNA from 1 species